AGUGAACGCUGGCGGUAGGCCUAACACAUGCAAGUCGAACGGCAGCACAGUAAGAGCUUGCUCUUACGGGUGGCGAGUGGCGGACGGGUGAGGAAUACAUCGGAAUCUACUUUUUCGUGGGGGAUAACGUAGGGAAACUUACGCUAAUACCGCAUACGACCUACGGGUGAAAGCAGGGGAUCUUCGGACCUUGCGCGAUUGAAUGAGCCGAUGUCGGAUUAGCUAGUUGGCGGGGUAAAGGCCCACCAAGGCGACGAUCCGUGGCUGGUCUGAGAGGAUGAUCAGCCACACUGGAACUGAGACACGGUCCAGACUCCUACGGGAGGCAGCAGUGGGGAAUAUUGGACAAUGGGCGCAAGCCUUAUCCAGCCAUACCGCGUGGGUGAAGAAGGCCUUCGGGUUGUAAAGCCCUCUUGUUGGGAAAGAAAAGCAGCAGGUUAAUACCCCGCUGUUCUGACGGUACCCAAAGAAUAAGCACCGGCUAACUUCGUG
rnacentral:rRNA from 1 species